rnacentral:rRNA from 1 species
CACGUAGGGGGCAAGCGUUGUCCGGAUUUACUGGGCGUAAAGCGUGCGCAGGCGGUCUCGUAAGCUGGGUGUGAAAGCCCCGGGCUUAACCUGGGAACGGCAUUCAGGACUGCGAGGCUCGAGUGUGGCAGAGGGAGGUGGAAUUCCACGUGUAGCAGUGAAAUGCGUAGAGAUGUGGAGGAACACCGAUGGCGAAGGCAGCCUCCUGGGCCAGCACUGACGCUCAUGCACGAAAGCGUGGGGAGCAAACAGG